UAUUGUGCAAUCACGUGAUGCUCAUGUCGUAUGACGGUUAAAUCUUUGGUUAGAAUUUUUGUUGUUGUUUUUACCUGUUUUUACAGUUUUUACUUUAUUUUUCUAUUUACAUCAGAUCUAUAUUUUGUAAUUGCCUAUCAGACAAUACGUAUUUAGAAAAAUAAUAAGAAUUAGGAUCGUGUUUUUUUUUUAAAUCCGGGAUAUUAAUUGGAACCCUUGAUAACAUUACUGCUUUUGAUAUAAAAAGUGCAUUUUUGAUUAUUUACUUGGGCUAGGAUAUUAAAAUAUCGGUUGGAUUGUACGACAUAAAUAGAUUUUUUGAUCAGACAUUUUAUUUUAUUUGUGAAAUGCCCACAAAAAAGCUUCCAAUGAUUCAACAUCAGUGUGUUUGCUGCAUAAUGGAUCAUUCCUGCUGAAUUUUUAGAUCAUUUGAAGACUACAC
rnacentral:lncRNA from 1 species